UGUGAUUGCAUUAUGAAAAUUCU
rnacentral:miRNA from 1 species